rnacentral:tRNA from 1 species
UUACUGGUAGGUUACAUUUAAACUGGCAAAUUGUGGUUUUGUUGAUUACAUUUAUUUUUUUUAUUGUAUC